UGGCUUGAGCCUGGGAAAUCGAGGCUUCAGUGAGCCGAUUGUGCCACUGCAACCCCAGCCUGGGUGACAGAGCAAGAUUGUGGUCUCCGAAAAAUAAAAAAGACACUUUCCUAAAGGUAGUUUUCCACAAGUAUAAAACUGAAAAAGGGUAGUUUUUACAGUUGCAAUUCAGUACUUUCAGAAUGGUUUUCUCCAAAGUAGCUGAUCAGCAGCUGCCAUAGCUCACAGAUGCUUACCAGUGAGGCUGCUGAGCUACUGCAGUCACCACAGCUAAUAUGGAGGCUCUUGCUGUCCACACCUAGGUAGAUAUUACGAUAAGGACUUAUAUGGAUGAACUCUGACAUUGGAACUGUUCAUUAGCAUUAUUAAGUCUCUUCUGCUUUUCCCACUCAGCCACCCUUUUAUUGGGGUCGGAUCUUACUCCCUUUUUUCGUUUGAUAGCUCCUGCUUACCAGAUACAGGUUUUUAACCUAGUUCUCUCAUUAUUCACAGCUAUAACCUUUUUAUGUUUUCUGGGUCAUUAUUUCCCACAGAACACUACCACCCCACUUGAUGUGAUUACCUGUUCUUUGGAAACAGUAUUUCUUGUUUAAAAAAGUAUAGAGAGUAUUUCAUGAGUCAGCUGUGUAAAAUGCUGCUAGAGGUUGAGUAAGCCAAGGUGCUGUAGACACGGAUUUUCAGUGGAUUAGUGAGGGGGCAGAAACACACUUACACAGAGUUGAAGAAGAUAUAGAAGGUGAGGGAAGUGGCCAGAAGUGCGACCUUGUUUUUAAAAUUUGUUUAUAAAGUGGAAUAGUGAAAUGGGUCGGUAGGGCUAAUGGGGAUCAGAGAAGGGAGGAAAAAGGGCAUGCUUGCAUACUGACAGGUGCAAUACCAUAA